rnacentral:rRNA from 1 species
UGGGGAAUAUUGCACAAUGGGCGAAAGCCUGAUGCAGCAACGCCGCGUGAGUGAUGAAGGUCUUCGGAUUGUAAAGCUCUGUCUUUUGGGACGAUAAUGACGGUACCAAAGGAGGAAGCCACGGCUAACUACGUGCCAGCAGCCGCGGUAAUACGUAGGUGGCGAGCGUUGUCCGGAUUUACUGGGCGUAAAGGGUGCGUAGGCGGAUGUUUAAGUGAGAUGUGAAAUACCCGGGCUUAACUUGGGUGCUGCAUUUCAAACUGGAUAUCUAGAGUGCAGGAGAGGAGAAUGGAAUUCCUAGUGUAGCGGUGAAAUGCGUAGAGAUUAGGAAGAACACCAGUGGCGAAGGCGAUUCUCUGGACUGUAACUGACGCUGAGGCACGAAAAGCGUGGGUAGCAAACAGGAUUAGAUACCCUGGUAGUCCACGCCGUAAACGAUGAGUACUAGGUGUAGGAGGUAUCGACCCCUUCUGUGCCGCAGUAAAACACAUUAAGUACUCCGCCUGGGAAGUACGAUCGCAAGA